AGAUACAAGACAGAUCACGUUAAACCCUCCCUGAUAAGGGACAAAACCAAGUGAUUCCUGUCCUAAUAUCUUUGGUUGGGGCGACCGCGGGGAAACAAAAAACCCCCACGUGGAAUGGGAGCUCCCCCUCCUACAACUUAGAGCUGCCGCUCUAGUUAACAGAACUUCUGACCAGUAAGAUCCGGCAAUGCCGAUCAACGAACCGAGUUACUCUAGGGAUAACAGCGCAAUCCCCUUUUAGAGCCCAUAUCGACAAGGGGGUUUACGACCUCGAUGUUGGAUCAGGACAUCCUAAUGGUGCAGCCGCUAUUAAG
rnacentral:rRNA from 1 species